rnacentral:rRNA from 1 species
CAUAUAGGAAGACCCGACCUGCUGUUGUUUCAGUUUCAUCAAUCAGCAGCUGUUUCAAUUCGAUUAGAAGAGCGCUGCUCUAUUUCUGUAACAUAAUGGCUAUUAAAGUUUUAAAGAAGAAAGUGGGAUUAGAACAAAUAAAAUUUUUGGACGAGUAAGAUAAGUAAAAUAAGAAAGAUUAGGUUUGAGUAUUAAUUAAAAA